UACAGCCACAGCAUAUUGAAACACCGGAUCCCGUACGAUAACCGCAGUUAAGCAACGUCGAUCCUAGUCAGUAUCUAGAUGGAUUACCACUUGGGAAUACCAGGUGCUGUAAG